CCCCUGUUAUUCCUCCUUUCAAAUCUCACCCACCUCUCUUCCACCCACUAACCCUUCCCAUUCCUCUCCUCCCUAUGCUAAACUUUUACCCAGAUUUCUUUCCUCCCCUGACCACUCUUCUUUUACCUGCUCACAUUUUCCCUCCCUCUAUCUUGUUUCCCCAUUCUCCCGCACCCCACCACCCACCCUACCUACCCCUCUCCAAACUCUCUCCCAUGCUGCUAGUCUUUUUUCCUAACAUCUUCUCCAUUCUUCCCCCCACCCCCAUUUUCCUUCCUCUCUUCCCCCACCUCUUCCCCCACCUCUUCCC